UACAGAGGUCUCGAGCGUUAGGCGGAAUCACUGGGCUUAAAGCGUGUGUAGGCGGAUUGCUAAGUACCUUGUGAAAUCCCACGGCUUAACCGUGGAACUGCUUGGUAUACUGGCUGUCUUGAGCCACUUAGGGGCGACCGGAACAAACGGUGGAGCGGUGAAAUGCGUAGAUAAUCGUUUGGAACGCCAAAGGUGAAAACAGGUCGCUGGGAGUGUGCUGACGCUGGAGAACACGGAAAGCCCAGGGGAGCAAAACGGG
rnacentral:rRNA from 1 species